GAAGGAGUGGCUGAGUGGUUUAAAGCGGUACUUUGCUAAAGUAUUUUUUUAUAAGAAAAACAUGGGUUCGAAUCCCAUCUCCUUUU